AUUGAACGCUGGCGGCAGGCCUAACACAUGCAAGUCGGACGGUAGCACAGAGGAGCUUGCUCCUCGGGUGACGAGUGGCGGACGGGUGAGUAAUGUCUGGGGAUCUGCCCGAUAGAGGGGGAUAACCACUGGAAACGGUGGCUAAUACCGCAUAACGUCGCAAGACCAAAGAGGGGGACCUUCGGGCCCCUAACCAUCGGAUUAACCCAGAUGGGAUUAGCUAGUAGGCGGGGUAACGGCCCACCUAGGCGACGAUCCCUAGCUGGUCUGAGGGGAAGACCAGCCACACUGGAACUGAGACACGGUCCAGACUCCUACGGGAGGCAGCAGUGGGGAAUAUUGCACAAUGGGCGCAAGCCUGAUGCAGCCAUGCCGCGUGUAUGAAGAAGGCCUUCGGGUUGUAAAGUACUUUCAGCGGGGAGGAAGGCGAUGUGGUUAAUAACCGCGUCGAUUGACGUUACCCGCAGAAGAAGCACCGGCUAACUCCGUGCCAGCAGCCGCCGUAA
rnacentral:rRNA from 1 species